ACCCACCCUGCCUCCCAGUGUCAAGAGCACAUGGUCCGCGCUGAGCUGCGGGUGUAGCCCAAAGGACUUGAGACCUCGUGUUCUGGGGGAGGACAGACAGAGUUCACCGUCUCCAGCUGAGGAAGAUCCGUCGUGUAGUGUAUACUUCCAGCACAUUUCAUUCAGACUAGUCACAUCUCGAGUGCUCAGCAGCAGGCUUUGGCCAGGGUGGCUGGAGCAGCUUGGGGAGUGCAGAAUGGCAGGAGAUGCAGCGGAAGAGAUGGGCGGAUGCAAAUCAUACAGGACUUUCUAUCUGUGGUAAGGUGUCGGGAUUUCAUGCUGCAAUUUUAGAAUUGAUUAAUUAUUAUCACAGAAAUAAAGCAGAGGUGUUAAUUGGUUUUCUGCCUGAUAACCAUAACUCACUGAAGGGACAAGACUGCAGGGAGAUAGCUGUAUGAUAAUUCCUUCCGUCUCCUUGCUCCUACAAGUCCUAGCAGAGACUCAUCCAGAGACAACAUCCCAGUACCUUUCUUUGUUCUUUGAAUCUUAUUGCUGAAAGAAAGGAAGGAAGGGAGGGAGGGAGAGAAGAAAGGAAGAGGAAGGAAGGAAGGGAAAAAAAGGAAAGAAAAGAAGGAAGAAAGAAAAUUCAAGCCCACAGCCCAGUGGUCAUCACACAGGGACUAGCUUGAAUGAUAACAUCAACUUGGGGACAAUGGAGACAUACAGGAUUAAGUGUGUAAUGAUCACAAGAAGGUGAGUAACUCUAAGACCUUCAUUAGGAAGUCACUAACAUCUGGGGGAGAGAAAGUUUGGGGAAGGAGGACACCUGCAAGACCGUCAUUUGAAGACACUGAAGGGUACAGUGUGGGGAUUAUGACAAACUUCAGUCUUGCCUUUUGCUAGGGAAAGUCAGGGAGAGGAAAUUUCCUUGGGUUGGAGCAGCCAGCAGACCUUGGUUUAGAUCCAGCUGUAAACCUAUUCCCUUAGGUAAGUGACCACCUCUCUGAGCCCAAGCUUCCUCAUUUACAGGAUAAUAGCCAUACCCAUGUACCACACAGGUUAGUUUAAAGAAUUAAGAAGGGUUUGUGGAAUCACCUAGCCCUGUAUAGUGCAUAGUGGCAUCCAAUAAAUGACUCUCAUGAGCUAGACUCUUCUUCGUGUUUACCACCACCCCGGAUAUGGAACCUUCUUGGGCUGAGUUCUUAAGGAGAGGAGAAUAUGCUGCUGUUUUUCUUUCAAUGGCUUGUUAUUUUUGCUCCCACCUUGCUCUUUCCUAUGUCCCCUUUAUAUCUCUUCCCUAAACUCUGGAUAGUUCAAGAGUAAGUAGAGGGGAGGUGUUUGUUCCAAUUAUUGGAUUAGUGUUGGUGUCAGGAAAUCAACUCUGAAUUCUUCACCUUCCUGUCUGCUUCACCCUUAUACUUCCUGGUAAGGAAAACCCAAUAAUUAAGAAAAGGAAAGCCAAAAGGGACAGGAGAAAAAGAUAAGAGAUAUUUUCUACCUAGUCUCCCCUCCAACCCUUGCCUGCUAGUGUCAAGACACUUUAUAAGGAGGUACAAGCUACAUGCAGCGUUAGUACAAACAUGGAAGAACCUAGGUUUGCCUGGGUGGCAGGCAGAUUAAUGAUGGCCCAGAGAUGGCCAUGUCCUAAUCCCCAGACCUGUUUCAUUACACAGUGAAAGGGGUUUUGCAGAUGUGAUUAAUGUUAGGUACUGUGAGAUGAGGAGAUAAAAUUUGAAAAGAAAGGCAGAAGAGUCAGAGAUUCAGCAGAAGAGAGGGCAGAAGAGGGACUCAACCCUCCAUUGCUAGCUUUGAAGGUGGAGAAAGAAGAUCUUUGAAGCCAAAGAAUACAGGCAGCCUCUAGAAGCUGGGAACGGCCCUCAGCUGACAGCCAGCAAGGAACAGGGACUUCAUUCUACGACUGCAUGGAACUGAAUUCUGCCGACAACCUGAAGGAGCGUGGAAGCAGAUUCUCCCCUACUGUCUCCAGAAAAGAACACAGCCCUGCUGAUGCCUUGAUUUAACCUGGUGAGACUCAUGCCAGACUUCUGACCGACAGAGCUGUGAUAAUAAACUUCUGUUGUUUUAAGCCA